rnacentral:rRNA from 1 species
UACGUAGGGUGCAAGCGUUGUCCGGAUUUAUUGGGCGUAAAGAGCGUGUAGGCGGCCAAGCAGGUCAGCUGUGAAAACUCGAGGCUCAACCUCGAGACGUCGGUUGAAACCGCUUGGCUAGAGUCCGGAAGAGGAGAGUGGAAUUCCCGGUGUAGCGGUGAAAUGCGCAGAUAUCAGGAGGAACACCGAUGGCGAAGGCAGGUCUCUGGGCCACUACUGACGCUGAGAAGCGAAAGCAUGGGGAGCGAACAGG